CUCUGCGCAACCACGAAUCAUAUAAAACACAUAGUUGUCCAACGCGUUUCUGAACCAUUUCAAAAUGACGUACCGAAAUACGUGACUACCAAAUACUUGCUGCGCAAUCCCUUUGAAAAUUUCGGUUCAAGUUCAACGUAACAUUUGUUGGUGCCUAGUGUAUUUUCCUAUAGAUGACGCUAGACACGUUCUCCAUCGUAUUUAUUAUUAUACAGAAAAAUCAGUAAAUAUUAAUAAGAAAUCGCGGGAAUUCAACAAUUAAACUGACAUUUCUAUAAAAUACAUAUAUAUGUCCAUAAAUUACAUAAUUCGCUGUAUUUUCGGAAAUACUAUACUAUAUUUGUAAAGUUAACGGACCGAGGAACGCAAUUAUUUCAACCGUCGACAUAUCGCCAAUAGGAUUCAGUAAUACUGAAUGUUAUCACUAGAAACUUACUAUAUAUGUACAUAUUAUAUGUAUAUAUAUAUAUAUAUA